CAGGAAACCCCCACUCGUAUUUCCACACUAAGAAUCUAACACAAGUUGUCAGAAGCUUAUUUGCAGCAGGAAUGGAGACAACGUCCACCACACUGCGCUGGGGCAUUCUCCUGAUGAUGAAAUAUCCAAAAAUUCAAGAAAAAGUCCAGGCAGGA